UCAUAAUUUUAUAAGAAAAUAUUAUUAUUUUUGUGUGUACGGAGUGCGAAUAACCAAUUUUACCAAUGGGUCAUUAGCGCACAAUCAGUUAUACACUAUUACAAUAUUGCAUGUAUAGCCCCCUACGCUGUUUUACACUAUUGUAAUAUUUAUUACUUGGGUUCUUAUCAUUUGUAUCGUGUUCGCUGUUGUCUGCUUGACGUUCCUACAGAUUGUUAAUAAUUGUAUUGCAUCAACCGUAUACUCUUGUUUUCAUUGUUUAAAUUGUUUUAAAUUGUAAUACAAUGAGUGAUUGUGAUUCUUCAACCAAAGUCGAUCAGGUUGCAGAUUUAGAAUAACCAAUUUUACCCUGGCCAAAUUAUUAAAAAAUAUUUUAAAGUAUUAAGAAUCAAUGAGAUUUGAGGAUAAUUUUUUUUAUAAGAAGCUGAAAGUGAAGUGCUUAAGAUGUGUCGAUACAAAGUGUUACAAGGUGGAUUCACGUUCAAACUCUAAUAUAAGAAAACAUUUAAGCAUUACAUUGAUAAUGCAGCGAACAAAAACUCUUUAAAGAGACUCAAUGAUGGAUCAUUGAAGCAUAAUCCUGGUAGUUCUUUAAAACAACCAG